rnacentral:misc_RNA from 1 species
GAUGAGAACGUAGUGAAAUGCGAUAAGUAGUGUGAAUUGCAGAAUUCAGUGAAUCAUCGAAUCUUUGAACGCACAUUGCGCCCAUUGGUAUUCCAAAGGGCAUGCCUGUUCGAGCGUCAUUUGUACCCUCAAGCUUUGCUUGGUGUUGGGCGUCUUGUCUCUAGCUUUGCUGGAGACUCGCCUUAAAGUAAUUGGCAGCCGGCCUACUGGUUUCGGAGCGCAGCACAAGUCGCACUCUCUAUCAGCAAAGGUCUAGCAUCCAUUAAGCCUUUUUUUCAACUUUUGACCUCGGAUCAGGUAGGGAUACCCGCUGAACUUAAGCAUAUCAAUAAGCGGAGGA